rnacentral:rRNA from 1 species
UACGGGAGGCAGCAGUGGGGAAUAUUGCGCAAUGGGGGGAACCCUGACGCAGCCAUGCCGCGUGAAUGAAGAAGGCCUUCGGGUUGUAAAGUUCUUUCGGUAUUGAGGAAGGUUGAUGUGUUAAUAGCACAUCAAAUUGACGUUAAAUACAGAAGAAGCACCGGCUAACUCCGUGCCAGCAGCCGCGGUAAUACGGAGGGUGCGAGCGUUAAUCGGAAUAACUGGGCGUAAAGGGCACGCAGGCGGUUAUUUAAGUGAGGUGUGAAAGCCCCGGGCUUAACCUGGGAAUUGCAUUUCAGACUGGGUAACUAGAGUACUUUAGGGAGGGGUAGAAUUCCACGUGUAGCGGUGAAAUGCGUAGAGAUGUGGAGGAAUACCGAAGGCGAAGGCAGCCCCUUGGGAAUGUACUGACGCUCAUGUGCGAAAGCGUGGGGAGCAAACAGGAUUAGAUACCCUGGUAGUCCACGCUGUAAACGCUGUCGAUUUGGGGGUUGGGGUUUAACUCUGGCGCCCGUAGCUAACGUGAUAAAUCGACCGCCUGGG